rnacentral:misc_RNA from 1 species
UGAAUUAAUCGCAGAUGGCAGGUGGGUAUAGAGCUGAGGAUGAUUACGAUUAUCUGUUCAAGUUGGUGUUAAUUGGAGAUUCUGGUGUAGGAAAAUCCAAUCUCCUUUCUCGAUUCUCAAGAAACGAGUUCAAUCUUGAAUCAAAGUCUACUAUUGGUGUUGAAUUUGCUACCCGUAGCAUUAAGGUAGAUGAUAAGAUCGUUAAGGCUCAGAUUUGGGAUACUG